ACGAAGAGUAAUCUUAAAGUUCACUUAUUGACUAGGAAACAUGAAUAUUGACCCUCUCGCCUCAUUUUUGAGUGUUUUGUAAAUUGAUGUUGUAACAACGGUGGACUAUUCCUUUGAGAGGAUGAACCCAAAUGAUGACUCAUACCCAUCCUUGAAGAAAUGAAGCUCUUUCUGGAUUUCAGUGAUGGCAUCAAAUUCUUUGAUUUCACAGGCAUCCUGGGAAGGGUCUACUACAUGUGUUGUGGUGGAAACAAAUGCAGUUGUCUCACUUGGGAUACUGAAUGCCCUUGAUGUCAUCACUAUGCAGAGAGAAAUCCUCUACAUAUUUGUACAUGGGAUACAUCAGAGCAUCUUUGAUGUUGGAGUGGUCCAGACCAAGUACAUGUCCGAACUCAUGGGCAGCUACCAGAAACAGACUGUAUCCUAUGAGGAGAAAGCAGUGUCAUUCAGAUUAGGAAUGUUUGCUAGUGUCUCACUUUCACAUUUAUUGCUGUAUUACAAUAUUGUUAUUUUAUAUUGUGUCUAUCAAUACACUCACCCCUAUCAGGGCAAAAUCCCCA